AUUGAACGCUGGCGGCAGGCCUAACACAUGCAAGUCGAGCGAGCGGCGGACGGGUGUGUAAUGUAUGGGGACUGCCCGAUAGCGGGGGAUAACUACGGGAAACGGUCGCUAAUUCCGCAUACUAUCGGAUAACCCAUAUGGGAUUAGCUAGUAGGUGAGGUACUGGCUCACCUAGGCGACGAUCCCUAGCUGGUCUGAGCGGAUGAUCAGCAACAUUGGAAUUGAGACAGGGCCCAUAAGCCGAGGGAGGCAGGAGUGGGGAAUAUGGCGCGAUGGGCGCAAUCCUGAUGCAGCCAUGCCGCGUGUAUGAAGAAGGCCCUAGGGUUGGAAAGUACUUUCAGUCGGGAGGCGUGACCGACAGAAGAAGUACCGGCUAACUCCGUGCCAGCAGCCGCGGUAAUAC
rnacentral:rRNA from 1 species